UGGGGAAUAUUGCACAAUGGAGGGAACUCUGAUGCAGCGACGCCGCGUGAACGAAGAAGGCUUUCGAGUCGUAAAGUUCUUUUAUAUGGGAAGAUAAUGACGGUACCAUAAGAAAAAGCCCCGGCUAACUACGUGCCAGCAGCCGCGGUAAUACGUAGGGGGCUAGCGUUGUCCGGAAUCACUGGGCGUAAAGGGUUCGCAGGCGGAAAUGCAAGUCAGGUGUAAAAGGCAGUAGCUUAACUACUGUAAGCAUUUGAAACUGCAUAUCUUGAGAAGAGUAGAGGUAAGUGGAAUUUUUAGUGUAGCGGUGAAAUGCGUAGAUAUUAAAAAGAAUACCGGUGGCGAAGGCGACUUACUGGGCUCAUUCUGACGCUGAGGAACGAAAGCGAGGGUAGCAAACAGG
rnacentral:rRNA from 1 species